rnacentral:piRNA from 1 species
UCGUUAUGAUGGAAAGUGGAA